GACUAAAGGCAUGCCAUGUUAUAUACAUCCAGCUGACUUUUUUCUUUUUUAUAGCUUUAUUGAACUAUAAUUCAUUUUUUUAAAGGUGUAUUUAUUUUAUGUGUACACUAGCUGUCUUCAUGCACACCAGAAGAGGGCGUCAGAUCUCAUUACAGAUGGUUGUGAGCCACCAUGUGGUUGCUGAGAAGUGAACUCAGGACCUCUGGAAGAGCAGUCAGUGCUCUUAACCGCUGAGCCAUCUCUCCAGCCCCCUUGAACUAUAAUUCAUAUACUACACAUGUGUUUUUCAGCCAGGCAUGGUAAGUCUCAUCUGGAAUCCUACCACUCAGAGGGCUAAGGCAGGAGGAUUGUCAUGAAUUUAAAGCCAACCUUGGUCUUCAUAUUGAGUUCCAGGUUAACUUAUGCUGCAGAGGAAAAAAAUUUCUCAAAAUAGCCAAAGUGCUACCUCUCCUGACAAUAACAAAACACACAUUUCAAAGCCUGCUAGCAUAUUCACAGAUGUGGUCAACGAUGACCACACUCAAUGGCGUAAGAUUCUCGAUCCCUCAAAUCCAAAUGAAACCCUGCAGUUUUCGGCUGUCACCACCUACCUUUCCAUCCCCUAUAAUCCUAAACAGUUUCUAAUCUACUUUCUGGCUGUGUAGACUUGUAAGGAGGGGACCUUCCCCACACACAAAUAGAUUUCUCUGGUCUAGACUCAUGACAACGGAAUCAUAUAAAAUGCACAUUUUCAAAGUUCAUACACAGUACAUAUAUCAGCAUUACAUACCUUUAUUAACAAUAUCUCAUUGUAUAGAGGUAGAAUAUUGUAAUUAUCCAUUCCUUUAUUUUAUUUUAUUUUUUUGAGACAGGGUUUCUCUGUUUAGCCCUGGCUGUCCUGGAACUCACACUGUAGAUCAGGCUGGCCCCAAACUCAGAGAUCUGCCUGCCUCUGCUAGAAUUAAAGGCAACCCCCAGCUAUAAUUAUCCUUUCUUAUCAAUUGGUGAGAACCAGGGCUAUUUCUGACUUGGGGUGGCUAUUAAUAAAAAUAAAUAAUAAAUUUAUAUACAGGGUUUUACAUAGAUGUACGUUCUGCCUCUGAAGUUUACAAUGCAUUUAGGACCAAUACUUAAAACCAUAACUAGGUCCCCCGUACACCAGUUUACGAUGUCUUGCUAAGACAGGACAUUACAAAGAUAUCUGACUUGCUAUGGUGGAAAACAGUAAGAACUGAGGCUGCAGGUAGGGAGUGGUCCUUGGUCUUACUGCUGGGCUUUAUAGUUAAAGAAGGUGCACACAUUCAAUCCUCCAUUUCAAUGAACACUCACUACUUAGUGUCUUAGGCAUUGAGUAGGUACUGAGGACACAGAGAAGAGUUUAACAGGCUCUGAGCACUUAUGUCACAAUCAAAUACAGAAGAUGGAUUUUAGCAUCCAGGCAGACAUGGAGUAAAGGAGUAAGUGCCUGACAGAAGAGGAAUGGGAUAUACUGGGCACCCACAGGAGGGAUGUGAAUUCAUACACACACUGAACACAACAAAGGACGGGAGGACAGCUGGCUCAAGGCACUGGGAGUCUUGGAUCAUUGCUGGAGCCUAGAGUGAGAGCAGGACAAAUGGGAGUCAUUCAGAUGUAAGGUGUCCCCCAAGCAGUCAUGUGUUAAAAGCUUGGUUCCCAAUGUCGCAGGGCUUUGGGGAAGUGAUUGAAUUAUGAGCACUUGGGCUGGAGAGAUGGCUCAGCAGUUAAGAGCACUGGCUGCUUUUCCAAAGGUCAUCAGUUCAAUUCCCAGCAACCACAUGGUGGCUCACAACCAUCUGUAAUUGGAUCUGAUGCCCUCUUCUGGUGUGUCAAGGACAGUGCGGUUAUAUACAUAAAUAAAUCUUAGAAUUGUGAGCACUUUAACUUUAUUGAAGGAUUAACAGCUUCAUCAUUUGAUGGCCUUAUUGAGGGUUCUGGUUAUGUCUUUGAUGAUCUUGUCCUUCUGUCCUGUGCUCCUGCUUUCUGGCCAGCCUGUUCCACUAUCCUCUUUACCAUGUUGCUGUUGGGGUUGCUCUGGUGCUGCUAUGUAUUCAAAUGCUAAUUACUGGACCCCAAGAUCUGGUUGCCCCCAAUGAGGAGAUCCUCAUGUACACCAAAUGAUGCUAUGUAACCUUGUUCCCCAAGUUAAUUGGUCAAUAAAACGUUAAAGCCUGUGAUCAGGCUGUAGAUAGAGGUAGGCAGGUUUUCAGUUACCUGCCUGAGGGUCGCAGGUAGAGACAAAAGAGGGGAAAGGAUGGAGAGAAGAGGAAGGCUCCAUGAGGGAGGUUUAUAGCUUAUGAAUAAAAUACCUGGAUCGUGUGUCUCUUAUACGGGCUAGCUAGCCAGAAUAUUUCAUUCAUUUUACAUGUUGCCUUGUCUCACCCACAGCAUUGGGGACAACCAAGUUUGGUUUGAAACCUCCAAAACAAACCUUCCCACACUUGAAACUGUUUCUCUCAGUUACUUGUCAGUCACUACAGACUGACUAACACAAGGCUCAUAGUUUAUUCCCAAUCUUUUACGUGGACAGGAACACCCUUUCUGUAGAUAUAGCAUUACAUAGGUUAGCCUUAUCCCAAGUAUCCUUGUCACUAUGGUUUUACUACUGUGAGGGUGUUGGGAGCUCAGCUGAAACCUCAUGAGUAUUUCUAAGGUUGCCAUAGGAACAUGCACCUUUGUUUUUAGAGCAAGUCCUAGCAUUGAGCACAGCUGUUUGGAAGCUGAGGAUUGGAUUGCUGGAGGAUGUGUUAGCAGGUCAUGGCGUCUUUCUCUUGACACUCCCAGGCAACAGGUUCGGGUGGUGGUAGUGGCUGUUGGUAUGUUUCUUCUUUCCUAGAGUCAGAUGUGGGGACCUAGAGCAGUGUGGGUGUUACUAUUGGCUUAGUAGAGUCUGAGGUUUAGGAAGUCACGUGCUUGGCUAUAGGAGGAGCUGCUACAAAGUAGAGGAGAGCUGUACCGUAGUGCCCCUAGUGGAUAACAAGGGCAGAGAGAGUAAACAGGCAAUUGCAGAGAAGAACAGAGCCAGCUGAUUAGAGAGGUAUAUGUGUCAGCGACAUAAUAAAUAUAACCAGUGAAACAUGGGCAACCAGAAACCAGAGAACUGAGCAACUAUCAGGGGCAAUCAUUACUUCAUUUUUCUUGUCUUUGGCUUUCAAAGAACUCCUGUGAGAAUUAUUGCCCAACUCUUAUGAAAGACAAAUUGAUUCAAACCUAGAGUUGAUAUUAGAACUGACCUGGUGUCUUAAUAUUUCUAUUGCUGGGAAGAGACACCAUGACCAAGGCAACUCUUCUAAAGGACAAUAUUUGACUGGGGCUGGCUUACAGGUUCAGAGGUUGAGUCCCUCAUUAUCAAGGCAGGAAGUGCAGCAGUGUCCAGGCAGGCACGGCAUUGGAGGAGCUGAGAGUUCUCUAUGUUCACCCAAAGGAAACCGGGGACAGACUGAAUCUCUCUUUCCUCCCUAGGUGGAGUUGAACUUAGGAGCCUCAAAGCCCACAGUGACACACUUCCUCUAACAAGGCUAUACCUCACAAGGUCGCACCUCCUAAUAGUGCCACUUCCCAUGGGCAAAGUAUGUUCAAACCACCACACCUAGAGUUGAUAUUACCACUAAAUAUGUGUCCAGUUCACAAAUGACUGUGCCAGUUGGUGUGUUAGGCUCAGAAAAAUAAAUGAUAGAAGGAGAUCUUCUAGAAAUCACCCCUGGGGGCAGGGUUUCAUGCCUCAGACUCAUAGUCAUAGACUCAUAGUGGAUUGGAUGCAAAGAUAAGAACAGCUCUUUCUAGCCAGGACCCGAAUAGAGCACCCCACCUGAAGACAUGUUUUGGCGGAGUCUGUCCAGCUCAGAGUGCAACAAAAUCAUUGUUUUUCUUCCUCCAAACCCUGUAUUUCUGUCAGUGACCUUUGAGUUCAUAAUACCUUACCCAUGGUGACUCAUGUGGAGCAGACAACAAAAGCUUGAGUCCCAUAAUCCUAUGCAGAAAGGCAUUUCUGUUGGUCCAGAAUGCUGGAACUGAGGGUGCUUUCUUCAGUGGGUGCUCCUGAGCUGCCCACUGUCGUCACCCAGUGUGAGCUCGAUAGUCUGCUCCUCCAUAAUUUGUGAAUUUCAUCGUCUUAUUUUCUCGACUGAAAAGUGUGUUUUCCUACCUGAGUCUUUAGGGAUCUUUCCCUCUCCCUAAACUGAGGGUUGACUGUGUAUCGUCUGGGUCCUGGACUGUAAUUUGUGGAAGCUAGGACACAGGUUCAUUUAGAUCGUGUGUAUUUCCCCUUAUACUAUUUUUACUUGUAAUUGUCAGUCUCUGAUACUGCAGUGCUAACGCCUCACAGACUUAAAAGAAAUCUUUUCAUUCAUAGUUCCAAAGGCCAGAUAUCCAAAACCGAUGUGCUGAGAAGUCACAGGAGUCAUCAAGGGAGCGUCUUUCCUCUGGUCCCCAUUCGUGUCCCGUGGCUUACAGAGGCAACACUCCAGUCAUGUUACAUGCUCUAACUUAACAACCUUUCUGUAUGUCUCUGUCUUCACAUGGCAUUUUCCCCAUGCCUCCUUUCUCCAUGGAGAAACCAGUCACAUUGGAUUAGGGCCUACUCUGAGUAAUGGCCUCAUGGUAAAUUGAUUAUGCAAGUAAAGAUUCCAUUUCCAAAUGAUGUAUCAAGGGUUAGGGCCUCAGUGCAUUUUGAAGGGAGGGGACAUAACUCAACCUGUAGCAUCUGUGUCAGGUAAAGGCAUAACAUGAAGCGAAGGCUGACGCAGGGUUGUCUGAGUGUCACCUGGGUUCCCACACACCCUUCCCUUAUGAUUCUAGAGCUUAAAUUCAGUGAGAAGCGCUGUGUUCGCCUUGUUUGCGCUAAGCACUUGCUGCCGUGUGAGUUUGUAACACAACUAAGAAGACAGAUGAUUGGGCAGGAGAGAUGGCUCAGCAGUUAAGAGCACUGGCAGCUCUUCCAGAGAGGUACUGAAUUCAACUCCCAGCAACCACAUGGUGGCUCACAACCAUCUAUAAAGGGGACAACCAUCUACAAAGGGGUCUGAUGCCCUUUUCUGGUAUGCAGGUGUACAUGGAGACAGAAUAUUUAUAUGUUAAAAAGACCAUAAAUUGGAGGAAGAGGAAGAUGAGGAGGAGGAGGAGGAGGAGGAAGAAGAGGAGGAGGAGGAGGAUGAGGAAGAAGAGGAGGAAGACGACGACGACAACGAAGAAGAAGAAGGAGGAGGCAGAUGAUUGGUGGAAAGUGGGGUUGUGAGUUCUGUGCAUCAAGGUGACUAGUUCAAAAGCAAACAGGCAAAGUGCUCUUUGGUUCUGCCAUUGUUGGCUGUGUAUAAUUCAAACUUGAAUGUCUUCUUCCCACACUUGGAAUGGGAUCUCCUAAUACUUAGUGCUAACUCUGGGUUCCUGGUUAUAUCCACGCUGGGCCAGGCCAUAGCUCUGUAGGUAAAGGAUUUUACUUGCAAGCAUGAGGACCUGACCUUUGUCCCCCAAAAACAUGUUUAAAAAGACAAAACACCAGUCACAACAGCUUGUAUUUGUUAUCCCACUGCUAAAGAAGUCAGGAGAGCCCGACUCUCGCAGUCAUCCAGCCUAGUCCUUGGCUGAGUUUCAGGGCAACAAGAAUAUAUCUCAAAACAAAAACCAAACCAAACCAAAACAACAAAAACAACAACAAAAAAAUAAAUAAAAACCCAAAAAAACAUCUUAAGGGCAGCUGAGGUUGUCGAUGGCUCCCAUGUGCACAGGCACACACGUGUGCGUUUGGAAAGGUGUACAGGAGGUUUAUUCAUGGCAACAUUAACAUGCAUGUCAGAGGCUAUCAAACUUCUCGUUUUAAAGAUCAAAUUCGACUUAGUGCAGGGUUGAAGCCUGAGGCCUUUAUGUCUAGUUAGGGCUCUAACUCCGGCCUCGCGGUCCUACCUAGCAACCACGGGGCGUGGCUGACCUCACCCAGAGGUGCCACCAAGCCCAGACUGUCCGCCAGAGGCAGUAGGUGGGUGACUGGGUGCAUGGCUACUCGUGCCUGGCGGGGCGCCCGUCUUUCUCUUAAGGAAAUUCUUUUUAUUCUGUCCACAUAAUAAAGUACAUUUACACCAGCGUGGAUAUCUGAUCCGUGGAAAGAUCAGAGAGAACCUGGCACGCGUUCCUCCGUACUAAGCAACCAAUCCCACCUCCUGGCUCUAAGGUUAAAAAAAAAGAAAAAAAAAAAUCAACAAGAUAAUCUCAGCUUGUAGCCGCCCCAGGAACUUCCUGGUUCUGCAUAACCACGCCUUCCGUUUCUAUGGCAAUGGGUCCCUCCCCCUCAGAAAGCCAGCCCUACUUCAGUUAAAACACAUAGGCAAGCGUUCUCUUCUUCGCUGACAUUGAUGGCUUUGCUUAUAGAAUUUUUUCCUUUCCCUCCCUCGGCAGGUCUCGUUGGCUAACCUUAUUUCUCACAGGGCAUUAAACCUUUUUAUAAAACCACUAGAAGUAGCAGUGAUGGGCGUUGCCGGCUGCGAUGACAACAUUCUAAACUAUAAGUAACUGGAAUCGCCCUGGUGGACUGACUUGCCACAACGCGCGUGCUCUCUCAGCUGACGCCCUUUUCCAGUCUUCUAGGACUAAAGCUUGGCUGUCUCCUGCCCAUCCGGGUUCCAGAGUCUCAGCGGAUGCUCCGGCUCUUGCGGACUUAAGGUGCCUUUCUGAAGGAAACAGGCUUGUGUUUACUGAGCAUCCAAUAACUCAGAGCUUUAAGCCAAAGUGGAUGUUAAAUUAGACACCUUGUCUAAGGGGAAUAAAUUGAGAACUGGGCUUUAGUCCUCACUGGCUACCUCUUCCAGUGUGUCACUGUAGGGCAAUAUCUUUGGAAGCAGUCUGUGGGGCUUCAGCCCUCUUGAUCCUGUAACCCCAAGGAAUCUUACUGUGAAUGUCAGCACUGGGUUCUGAUUAAGGUAGGCUCAGAUUCUCUCUACAGCAGGUCCCCUAAUUUGGGGGGUGAGUUCCAAGAUCCCUGUGGAUGUCUGAAACGGGGUUGUACUGAACCCUAGAUGUGUUACAUAUUCCCAUAAGUACCUGCGUAGCUGUGAUGACUUUUACUUUUGGUGGUACAUUUUACAUAGAAAUUAGGAGCGACGAAAGUUGACAGCUGAUUAAAGUAGAGAACAAAAGCAGUAGACAGUAAGCAGGUGAUAUGUUGUUCGUAAAAUAGCUUUUUACCCUUCUACUUAAAGGAAGCACUUUGCAUCUCUCUGGUACAGCUACACAGCUUCUGCACCCAGGGUCCUUAUUAAGUUAGUAAAGCGUAGUUGAACACGGGCACUGAUGGAUCUACAUAAGGAGGAGGCUGACAACUAACAGUUGGGCAGCCACACAACACUAAGCAAAGGGACCGUUCCGAGCAGGUCACAGCAUGAGAGUUCAUCACGCCUGUCAGAAUGGCACCAGUCAUACUCCUCUGCGCCUCCAUUUUCUAAUUAACGUAACAAGAGUGUGAUGACUAAUCUUGGUUGACAACUUGAAAUGCCUGGGAAGAGGGGGGGGGAUGGUUGGGAAAUUGUCCCCAUCAGAUUGGCCCAGGAGCAUGUCUGUUGGGGGUGGGUGGUCGGUGACUGCUAAUUGAUGUAGGAGAGCCCAGUUGACAAUUCCAUCCCUAGGCUGAUGGGUCUAGGCUGAAUAAGAAAGAUAACUGAGCAAGCUAGAGGGAGCGAAGCAAAUCGGCCCGUCAGCACGUCAGCACGUAAGCUAGUGGUAUCACUGAAGCCCUGGUAGAUUUUAUGAGUUCAUUCAGGAACCUGUACUUCUGGAGCUGGGUUUAUAUAAGACUCAAUAAACUUUUGAUUAUUGGAGCCAAGAAUAGAGUAAAGCCGGGUAUGUAGCAUACACCUAUAAUCCCAGCACUCAGAAGGCUGUGGCAGGGGGAUCAAGAGUACCAGCGAGCAUAGUGAGUUCUACACCAGCCUGGGAUGUGUCGGGAGAUCUCGUCGAACAGCAGGAUAAACAACAACAACCCUCAGAAUUCUAUGUAACUUCCGUUCUCAUCUUACUUUCAUUAAAGCCAGCAUAUGAGAGAGGACAGGCUCAUACAGGAGAGGCCUAUCUGUGUACUUCACAGGACCAGUCUGGCCUCAGCCUCCUUCCCACGUGCUUAGCUUUCUCCUCCUGGCUUCCUUGUGGACCUUGGAGGCUUCUCACACAGAUUCUCGGUGCCAGACCAGCCCCAAGAAGGGAGAGAGUUUCUGCUCCCCACCACUGUUUCCUUUUUUUUCUUUUUUUUAGAGAAAGCCUGGCACCAGCAUCUCACUCUCUCUUCCAGCCAGCAGACUUCCUGGAAAGACUGGAGGAGACCAGUUUCCCUUUUGGUCUUCUUCCAGAGUCAAAGCUAUCUAUGCCUUUUAAUGUCAGCCAUAAUUUUUGGACAUGGAGCCCUCAGGAUUUCUUUCCAUGUCCUCUUCUGAGAGGACACAUUGCAGUGAAGGCUGACCUACCUAGUGCCCUCUGAGAGUAGAGUGUGUCUGGGCCUCGAGCCAAGAGGUCACAGUACCACUGGAGGGGAGGGCAUGGGAGCUGGAAAACAGGAGCAUCUGGGUCACAGUAGAAGGAAAGAAUAUAAGAUUUUGCUUGGACCUGUCACUGGGUGUUGUGCGAGUCCUGGGGCCAUGCCACCAGGAACUCAUGGCUGAUAUAGAGGUUCCCCAAUCCUUCCCUGAUGCCUUUCUACCUCUGCUCUCUGUUCUUUGUUCUCCUGCUUUGUUUGUUUUGUGUGUGACAGGCAUCCUGCCCUCUCCCCUACUCUUUACCAGCUCCAUCCAACAAACCUUAUUUAGCCUCUGUGAUAUGCAGGGCACUGGGCUACAGUGGUCACUACCACUAAAAGGAUUUAGGUAUUUUAAUGAGAGACCAGCAUAAACAUCCUCAUUAGACAAGAAAGGUAAUAAAAAUAAAUCCCAAAUACUUUUUUAUCUGCAUUCUCUACCUCAGACCGGAAGGGAUAAAUGGAUGUGGCUCUAGCUGACAGGAUAGUUUCUGUGGUGGGCAAGAAUUUGGGUUACAGGGCUGGAGAGACGGCUCAGCGGUUAAGAGCACCCGACUGCUCUUCCAGAGGUCCUGAGUUCAAUUCCCAGCAACCACAUGGUGGCUCACGACCAUCUGUAAUGGGAUCCGGUGCCCUCUUCUGGUGUGUCUGAGGACAGCUACAGUUACUCAUAUAUAAUAAAUAAAUAAAUCUUAAAAAAAAGAAUUUGGGUUACAGACGGAUAGAGGUAUGAACCUCAGUUCUGACAAGCUGUGUGUGUGUGUGUGUGUGUGUGUGUGUGUGUGUGUGUGUGUGUGAAGAAGGGCAAUCAUCUAAUCUCUCUGGCCUUUGUCUCUAAAAUGGUAGGCUCAGGUAGAGAAAGUUCUUUCUGUACUCUCCCCCCCAACCCCAGAGAUGGGUGGGGUGCAGAAAGGAGAGAGACACAGAGAGAUUGUACAAUGUGAGAACUAGGUGAAAUGUUGCCUAAAUGGUGUUAGCCUAGUCCCUGGUACAUAACAAGACUCAAACAAAUCACAUAUCAUUGCUGCUUUACCUACUUGGGCCUAGGAGUCAGGCACACAUUUUUUCUAAAGAGCCAGACAGUAAACACCUCGGCCUCGGUGGACCAACGCAGCAUCAGAGCAGCCACUCACUUUACUGAGGAACAGCCAUGGGCAUGGGUGAGCAAGAGGUCAAACUUUCCCAUCGCAGAAGGCUUUUGCUGUGACUUUCUCCAAAUCACUUUGACUAUCAACAUAAAAGCCAUCCCCACUGCACAGACUGUGUAGAAAACAGGCCAGGAGCCAGGCGUUGGCCUGCUGGCUACUUGGCCCACCCCUGCAUAAGCUGAGUGAAAUGGUGGGCACUCCUUUUUGUAGCUUUCACUUCACAGCAAAGUCCAACUGGAAGUCUCCAGUUCCCCUCUGUGUCAGUAUCUAGAUGCAAGCCAGACUGACACAGUUAUAGCCCAAUCCAAAGAUUGCAUGAACCUCACACAUAAAAGUAAUGCCUACACUUGACUUGUGCAUGAGCCAAGACAACAAUGCUUCCCAAGAUAAUGCUUCAACAAGAUAAGACAUGGAAGAGACAAUCUGGGCUUUGCAAAUGUAGGCAUGCUGCUCUUGACAGAUGCCAGGGUUUGACUUUGUUUCUUGGUGUGGUGAGCUGAGAAGCUGUUGUGAGAGAUACUGGACUGAGGGUCACAGGCUUUGUCAGAAGGCAUCAGAAUGCAUGUUUAGUGAAGAGACCUGGAGAGUGCAAAGGAGGUAGGAAGAACCUCCUGGAAAGAGGCAGUCCUAAACAAUAUGGGAGUCAGAUCAUAAAUGAGUCCGCUGUGACACCCUGGGUUCUCCCAAGCAGUGCACGCUUCCUCUUGCCUUGCCUUUCCGUGUUUCUCUUAAAUAAUUGUAGAUAUAAAUAGAGUACUUUGCUGUCCUUUCUUCCGAAAUGUGAGAAGACUCUCAGUUUCAAUUUUAUAUCAAGUUUCCUGCGGGCCACAGAUUUUUUUUUCUCCAAUAACAUAAAGUAACUGCCAAAUCCAGAGGUAUUGCAAUUUAUUAAUAUUAAAUUUAAAUAAUAAUAAUCAUUAAAGUUGCUUCUCAUGAGCCAGAGGAAAUUAAGACCUUUUUCAUAAAGCCAUCCAAGAAUCUAGUUCACUCUUGCAUAUAGAGUCCUCAGCAUCUCCAGCCACUAUCCUUAGAGAGAGAAUAGCUUAUCUAGCCAAACAGAUCCCUCUAACAGCCUUCAAUGCUGGAUGCCAUGCCAAUAACUACUGACUCGUUGGAGCCUCUCCUCCAGGAAAACCAUGAAUGUCUUAGUCACUAUUCCAUUGCUGUGAAGAGACGCCAGGACCAAGGAAACUCUUUUGAAAGAAAGCAUUUAAUUGAGGACUCGUUAUAGUUUCAGAGGGUGAGUCCAUGAUCAUCAUGGUGGGGAACAUGGCAGCACGGUAGCACACAUGGCUCUAGAGCAGUAGCUGAAAGUUCUACUUACUAACACACUUCCUCCAUUAAGGCCACACCUCCUAAUCCUUCUAAUCAUUUCAAAGAGUUCCACUCCUUAGUGACCAAGCAUUCAAAUAAACGAGCCUAUGGGGUCAUUCUUAUUCAUCCACUACAGCAAGCAUAGACAUUUCCAUCUAGACACUUUGGAUCACAGGUAACCAGCUGCCUCCCUGCCGACUUGCUUUUGUGUUUUAACUGGUAUAUGAUGAAGGGGGGAAGCAAGACGCAAUCUCAGGCACCAUUAGAAAGGAGAAAGGAAUGGAACUAGGUCACAGUAUACGCAACAGCCCACCAGGUGGUGUGGGAGUCAGGAGGAAGACCAGGGGAGGAAAAAUCAACAGAAGAUGUUGUAUAUACUAAUUUUUAUUAAUAUUUUAUUUACUUUUACUCUAUGUAUAUGGAUGCUUCGCCUACAUGUGCGUCUGGGAACCACAUGCAUGCAGCGCCCAGCGGGCCCAGAGGGAGCAUCAGAUCCUCCAGAACUGCAUUUACAGACAGUUGUUAGCUGCCCUGUGAACCUGGGAGAGCAGAUCACGCAACAUACAUGCAACUCAGCACAUAUUGUAGUUCCAAACACGGCAUCCUGAAAAAUGAUUGAGUGUCCUGCCUGUCACCCAGGGUAACAUCACCAUCACUGCCUGGAAGAACAUAGUCGAAGUGACCAGAUUCUUAUGUGAGGCACUUCAGAAACAGUCAAAUGGUUCAGCACCUGUCUGGUAAAGAUCCCUUUGAGUUGUCUUUGUAGAUGGGCUCUGCUGGGAAAGUGGACUUUGCAAGUUAAAAGGACAGCUGCCCUCCCUUAAGAGUGACACGGAUCCUGUGGGGACAGUGUCUACACUGAUCAUCUCUGUGACAGAUGAUGUUCACUGUCAACCUGACUGGAUUCAGGAUCACCGUGGAAACACACUUUGGAUGAGUCUAUUAGACUGUUUCCAAAAGAGUUUAAACUGUAGAGCGAAGAUGUACCAUGAAUGUGGGUAGUGUAAUCCUAUAGGUUGUGUCCUGGUCUGAAUAGAAGAGAGAGCUGGGCACCAGCGUUCGUCUCCUGACUGCAGAUGCGAUGUGACCAGUCAACUCCUGCCGCUGGGCCUUACCCACCAUGAAGGAAUCUUAAACCACGAGCAAGAGUAAACCCUUCUUCCUUAAGUUGCUAUGGUCAAAUAUUUUGGUUAUGGCAACAAGAAAAAUAGUUAAUGCACAAAGGCACUAAAUUGUGCUUUACAGUCUAUUUACAUGUCUAUGUUAUUACUGGAUGCAAGUAAAUACCGGAAGUAAUGAGAAAUCAGCAUCACUUGGACAUUUUCCAAUCCCUCCCCACUUUUUUCAGUGCUGGACACUUUUUUCAGUGCUGGAGAGAGAACAGAGGGAUUCAUGUUAGCCCAGGCUUUACCUCAGUCAUAUCUCAGUCUUGCACUUCACUCCUGCUUUUACGAGUUCUGAGCUAGGGAGCUCCACUAAACCGUCCAGUCCUGGAAGAAUAUGUGGUAGCUGACUGAUGACGGGGAGGAGUAAGGACACCACACCUUCCUAGAGACCUCUCACGGCACUCUAACUUACCAAGGGCGUCUAAGGGCUGCGGUAUAGCUCAGUGGUAGAAUGCUUGCUACCUGAUAUGAGGGAGGCUCUAUGUAAGUUCCAUCCACAGUGCCAUCAAAACAAGCAAGCCGAAAUAGUAGAUCCACUAAGCAUCCUUUGAGAGUUAUUGAGAAAGAGAUGACUAUUGUUUAUGCAAAGGUGUAGUUUUUACCCUCCUGCAAAACUCUUAUCUGUAAAAUUGCAUCAAGUUAGAGGCCAAAAUCAAUAUUGAAAGCAAAAUAUUACCAAAUGAGAUGUAUCUUGUUAUUUUUACUGCCCGCCCUUAAGUCUUUCCAGUAUUACCAAAGGAAAAUAUUUUCAAAAAUAGCCCAACUGUUUUUUACACACAGUUCAGUUGCAGUGACCUUUUGCAGUAACUCAAACAAGAUAUCAUAGGCAACUUUUAUUUAGGGACCUAGACAUGGUUAUAUUAUAUUGUUCUAAAUUAAAAACUGAAAUCAAAACUAUUUGUUUUUUCUUUUUAUUGAAUUAUUCUUCUCACACAUGUAUCCUGAUUGUAGUUUUCCCUCCCUCUACUCCUCCCAGUUCCUCCCUACAUCCCCUACAUCCAGAUCCAGCCCCCUCUCUGUCUCUCAUUAGAAACCAAAGAGGCUUCUAAGGGAUAAUAAUAAAAUAUGACAAAGUAAAAUAUAGUAAGAUAAAACAAAAUCCAUCAUGUUGUGGUUGGACAAGGAAAACAAACAGAAGGGAAAGAGCCCAAGGGAAGGCACAGGAAACAAAUACCCACUGUGGACACACUCAGGAAUCCCAUAGAAACACUAAGUCAUAAUAUAGACACUGAGGCCCUGCGCAUGCUGCUUCAGCCUCUGUGUUCACAUGAGCCUUGCUCAGAAAAUGUUGCUGUAUGACUGUGUGUGUUUGUGUACAUGCCACGGCACACAUGUGAGGUCAGAGGACAAGUUGGUUCUCUCCUUCCACUUUGUGGGUCCUGAAGCUUGAACUCAGAUCGUCAGGCUUGGCAGCAAGCGCCUCAACUUGUAGAGCCAUCUCAUUGGCCUUAAAAUUUUGCUUCUAAUGAAGACAAGGAUCAAUGAAAGGAAAGUGACCUAAUAAAAGUCAUGGUACGCGUUAAAGAGAAAAAAGGAAGGAGAAGAAGGAAGAAGAGAGGAUGAGAAGGAAACAUGAUGUGGGUCUCUUGUUUCCGGCCGUCACUCACCUACGCAUUCAUCCAUUCAUUGUGCUGUUCCAACUCAUGAGACGGUGCAUGAGUGCUCACUGGGCAAGGACGUGUGGAAGGGGACUGAAAGUAGCAUUUAGCUGGGUUGUGGUGGCGCAAAUCUUUUGCCCCAGCACUUGGGAGGCAGAGGCAAGCAGAUCUCUCAAUUUGAGGCCAGGCUGGUCUACAGAGCGAGUUUCAGGACAGUCAGGGCUACACAGAGAAGCGUCUUUAAAAAAAAUAAAGGUUUUAUCAUUUCUUUCUGGGUAUACAUAUGUGUGUGCGCCUGCAUGAGUUUACCAUAUGCAUGCAGGUUUUGGCAGAGGUCAGUGUCAGUGUCAGGUCCCCUGAGACUGAAGUCACAGGUGACUGUGAGCCACCAUCAUGGGUGCUGAGGACAAACGAUAGUCUCCUGCAAGAACACUCAGCACUCUUAACACAGAGCCAUCUCUCCAGCCCUGAAACUUUACACCUUGUAUGUGUUUCCCCUCUGGCGAAAUACUGUUCUCUUUUCCUGUCCUUCCUGAGUCAAAGUUCCAUUAGGUGUCAUCAUCAUCAUCAUCCCAAAAACUCUCCUGACACAGGGAAGCCCCAUGUGCUCCCUUUCAGUUAGCAGCAAGGCUGGCACAUCCUGUUACAGCUGCUACCACACGCCUCAGCCAUUAUUUCUUCAAAUGUCUACCUUCACUGGCUGAGAGUGAAUUCCCAGUUCCAGUUUGUAUAGUAAGUGCUCAAUAAACAUCAGUUGUUUGUUCUACAAUGGCAGGUGUAGGGAGCCAUAUUGGAUUUGGGCCUGGCCGCUUUGUGACUGUAUGGCCAUAAAGUCUUGAGAUUGUUGGACAAAAGCCUCUCCCAUGAAUUUACAGCACAAGAAGAUAACAAUCAGCCCGAACAAAUACCAAGUAUCUCCUGAGCAAACACCCGGGGUCUCCACCGCAAGACCCCUGCUGAGCCCGGCUGCUGCUUGUGGAACUGACACACCUGGGCCACACCUGGGCGGAGGUCAAUUCGCUCCUGCCUUUUGCUUUCUCAGCCUUUGUCCUUGAGAUUUAGGCUGGUCUUCUGGGAUUUCUCCCUAAUUAAUUCAGGUCUCUUAGUUGGUCUUUUGUUACCGAAGCCAGGUAGUCAUGAGCCAGGGUUUCCCACUGUGCUUCCCAGAUAUUUUCUACCUGGGGAACUUGGGUAUAUAAGUGGUGAAUAAAGCUACAGGAGUCUCUCUCUCUCUUCCUCUCCUGGCUUGACACGAAUAACCUGUGUGUGUGUGUUUCUUUAAUCCCGCAGGCUUUCGCCCGAUUCUCGGUACCGUGUUGGUGCAGGCACCGACAGGCAGGUAGAAAGAAAGGGCAGUGGAUUGUUGAAUAACUCCUAGGUACACCAGAUUCUAUGCUAUCUUCUUGUGCUCACUUCCUCCUUGCAUAGAAGAUCAUUAUGUAGCCCAGGCUGACCUGGAAUUCCAUAUGUAGACCAGGCUGGCCUACAGAGACCUAACUGCCUCUGCCUUCAAGUGCUGGAAUUAAAGGUGUGUGCCACCACACCAUUAUGCAUCACACAACGAUGAGGAUAGUUCUGAGGUGAAUUCUCAGUUGAUCUCAUGGUGGUAACACCACAGAAUAUGCCUGACGACACCCCAGUGGUCCAGGGGACUAUCCAUCCUGGCUUCAUUGAAUGUAAAUAUGUAUAUGGUAUUACUUACUGUCCCCAGGGCCACAAUAGAUAAAGCUCCAUGGCAUGAGAGAAAAUGACGCAAUGAAGAGUGACAAAAAGGACAAGCCCCGAGGUCACUGCUCACAUGCUGUGGUGCGCUGUUUGUAGUAAUCGUGCUUCUUUGUAAGUAGGGGAAGUGGAGGCUGGUGGAAUGGCUCAGUCAGUAAAAAUCGUGUUGUGUCAGCAUGAGUGAAAAAAACGAUCCAGACCUCAAAAGAUAAGGUGGAGAUCUAUUGAGGAAGAUGCCUGAUAUUGACCUCUGGCCUCUACAUAUAUAUAUGUACCCACAUACAUGUACACACAUAUACAUGCACAAAAUAAAUGAGGAGGGUUUUUUUUUUUAAAUAAUAAGAGUAUAAUGUAUAAAACCUUAAGCUGCUCUUCCUUGUUAAGGACCCUGCACUGUGUGUAGCUGUGUGCUUGAGGCCAUGGGAUUGGCAGGGCAGCAGGUUUGUUUACACAGCGUCCCGGCACUCAUAGGAAAAGUGCCUUGCACACCGUGAUGACUUCAGCAUCACCAGGCUCAGCUCCCUCCAUCCCAGUCCUGUGAGACAGCGCUGCACAUGUGACCCGGUGCCAACCAGACUUUCCCUACACAUCACAUGACUGUGUGCAUAUGAAUAAAAUUGGGACUGAAAACCACUUUAUUAGAAGUAAGAGAAUAUUGUCAGACUGGGAGCGCCAUGCCAGUUCUACUUUGAAUGAAUGGUACUCUUGGGGCUUAGUUAUCUUUACUUUGAAGGGGUCUAAUACUUGAAGUCAGUGUUUUACCAAGCAACGUGAUGUAUACAUGGCUGAAAUUCAACCUUUUAGCACAGUUUAUACCAAAACAUGUGAGAGUUCAAGGGGCUAUCAGCUUGAUUUUAACAAUAAGAUCGCCUCAGUGAUGUUAGCAUAGCCUAUGUGGUACCCAUUUGGAUUCAGUGGCUUGUGAUGGGGGUGCUCUACCAACAGUCCUAUAUCUUUUUAGUAACUUGUACUGUUGGGACUUUACCCAUUGGUCCGCCCUGUCUGUAGUCAGUGGCUUGGAUGGAGGGACUCUACUCAUGUGUCUUUUGGAUUGGAACAUCACUUCUUAUAUGGUUCCUACCUACAAAUGUUCUCCAUCUGUGUUGUGGGCAUGAUAUCUUCUAAAUUGUAUGAAAAAUUCUUUAAAAACUAUUCCAUUGACCACAUACACACUCUCCUAUUGUUCUGAUUUGUGAUCACCCACAAAAGAUACUACUAGCAAGUGACCUUUGGGCCAUGACCAGUGUAUUCUGCACGUCCUUGCUGUCUCCAGCAAGGGCGUAUGUGAUCUUUCACAAUUCAUCACCCCUUUCCUCACUGGACUCUGCUCGAGUCCAUGUUGGGAAAUGUGCUCUGUAGACCAUUUGCCUUUUUAGUUUGGAAAGGGAACAGACAUUGAAACAUGUGAGUGACUGGGGACUGACAAGCCUCCUGCCAAACUGUGAUAACCGAGUGGCCUGCCAGCUUGUUUCUGAGCGUUGUUUGGCAUAGACACUUACACAAAUGGCACGUCUAUCAGCUUCCCUAGGUAAGCGGUUCUCAGUCUAUGGGUAGUAACCCCUUUGGGGGGAGAAAAACCCUUUCAACAGGGGUCGACUAAGACCAUAAGAAAACAUGGAUAUUUACAUUACGAUUCAAAAGAGUAGCAAAAUCACAGUCACAAAGUAGCAACGAAAAUAAUUUUAUCACUGGGGGUCAUCACAACAUUGGAAUUGUAUUAAAGGGUCACGGCAUUAGGAAGGUUCAGAACUCCUACUCUAGGCUCAUAUUUCCUUGAGGGUUCAAUAGAGUGGGGACAGAACAAAUGAAUAAGAAGACCCAACUUCUGGGAGCUCUGUUUCUUGAGGGACAGUGGUUCCAUUUCCCGUGAUUUAAAGAAACUGAUCUUUGUUUCUCCUGGACCCAGCACGAACCACCAUCACUCUUCCCUGUUACAUGUCAUCCAGCACGUCCUGUUGACGGAGAGUCACUUGGGGAAGGAGCUCUUUGCGGAGGAGAUAGUCCUGGGUUCCAAGGCUGGGUGCCAAUAGACUGUCAGGACGCUAUGUCAUGCCACUGGCAUAGCAUGAUAGCAUAUGUCCACAGCAGUCCAUCGGUCUGUGUAUUAACAUUUUAACAUCCCAUAUACUUUUGACUCUUAAGUUUUGUUUUAUUAGUGUGCAUACCCCAAAGUGACUAAGCAUGAGACUUAAGGCACACUUACUAGUGAGGAAAGAAACCAGCCAAUCACUCAAUCAAAACGGUUUAAGGUCUUAGCAGCACGUGGUUAUAACAUGGUGCCGCUGGAGAGUUAGAUGAGGGCAAGUUCAACUCAGUUCUCUCACAUGCUGGUCUCCAAAGUUAAGCCAGCGCAAACAGGAGCCUCAGGUUGGGCUAACUCUCCCUUCGCUCCUCCAGCACAAAGUGACAAAGAACCGAUGUCCAGGCAGUUGGCAAGGACAUUUGAGACUCAAUUCUUGGACUCUAAAGCCAGUGAAAACAAGCAGUGAAGACAUUGCUGGGCGAAGGGACUUCUGUAAGAGAGAAGUUUGCAAAGGAGAGUGAAGGCACCAAGUCAUACCCUCUGCCACCUCAGGGUACUUGGAAGUGUCUCCACCUGCCAAGAGAUCAGCUCCAGAUGAGGCCUCUUAACCUCAAACUUUCAGCUUCUAGAACCGCUGGCUGAGUGAACGUGUAUUAUUUAUAAGGGAUCCAAUUCCUGGUAUUUGGUUGUAGCAACAGAAAACUGACUAUGACAGACAUAUUGAGCUCCAAUUGUUUGUGAACAACAUGGAAAUGUCAGCAGCUGCUGAGUUCUCUUUUCUAACCUCAGGAGAGAGGCCUGGGUAGAAAAGAAGGAUUAGAGACGAAAAAGAAAUCCAGGAGAGGAAACCAUUACACUAAGCAAUAUUAGGCAGGCAAAGGUCACAGUGCCUUCCGUGUUUAACCCUUUCAAUGCCCGAAUAAAGUCAAUAACCACCAUGA